rnacentral:misc_RNA from 1 species
AGCAGCCGCGGUAAUUCCAGCUCCAAUAGCGUAUAUUAAAGUUGCUGCAGUUAAAAAGCUCGUAGUUGAAUUUCGGGAUCAAUAUGUUGGUCGUGCCUCGGUACGUACUAGCUUAUUGGUUUCUCCCUUCUGACGAACCGUGAUGUCAUUUAUUUGGUGUUAUGAGGAAUCAGGACUGUUACUUUGAAAAAAUUAGAGUGUUUAAAGCAGGCUCACGCUUGAAUACAUUAGCAUGGAAUAAUGAAAUAGGACGUUUGAUUCUAUUUUGUUGGUUUCUAGGAUCGACGUAAUGAUUAAUAGGGAUAGUUGGGGGCAUUAGUAUUCAAUUGUCAGAGGUGAAAUUCUUGGAUUUAUUGAAGACUAACUACUGCGAAAGCAUUUGCCAAGGAUGUUUUCAUUAAUCAAGAACGAAAGUUAGGGGAUCGAAGACGAUCAGAUACCGUCGUAGUCUUAACCAUAAACUAUGCCGACUAGGGAUCGGAUGAUGUUAAUUUUUUAAUGACUCAUUCGGCGCCUUACG